AAUAGCGUAUAUUAAAGUUGUUGCAGUUAAAAAGCUCGUAGUUGGAUUUGUGGUGUGUCCAGUUGGCCUUUGCUCUUUGAGUGAUAGUGCUUUACUGGUCUGCCAUGUUUGGGUGGAAUCUGUGUGGCAUUAAGUUGUCGUGCAGGGGAUGCCCAUCGUUUACUGUGAAAAAAUUAGAGUGUUCAAAGCAGGCUUAUGCCUCUGAAUAUAUUAGCAUGGAAUAAUGAUAUAGGACCUUGGUACUAUUUUGUUGGUUUGCGCACUGAGGUAAUGAUUAAGAGGGACAGUUGGGGGUAUUUGUAUUCCAUUGUCAGAGGUGAAAUUCUUGGAUUUUUGGAAGACAAACUACUGCGAAAGCAUUUACCAAGGAUGUUUUCAUUAAUCAAGAACGAAAGUUAGGGGAUCGAAGAUGA
rnacentral:rRNA from 1 species